UUUAGAAUUGCUUCUCAAUAACAAAUGGACAAAAGAGAAGCAAUUCUAAAGGCAUAAUAAGAUCUAUUCCGCAUACAAGCUUGAGAGAGAGGUGAAUAAAACAUGACAUACACGUAAGUAUCAACUCACAAUAUGUGCUUAACGUCUCCCGGAUGCCACUGACUCAGCUGAGAAGAGGUGCUUCACUCGUGAAAGAACUGAAUCCUGUGCAGGAUCAUAAGGAUGGUCCUUUGA
rnacentral:misc_RNA from 1 species